AUACAGAAGGUGUGGCCCGUGCUUUCUACAUGCAUAUUUAACUAUCUAAAAUUAUUUGUCCUUAAUGUUAUUAUUAAAGAAUAACCUCCUGGAGAGGAAGAAUUACACAGCAAAAUGAGGCCUAAAGCAUUUCUUCAAAUAAAGAGCUGAGAAGAAGAGAAGGAAAAGCCUGGGUUACUCACGAUUCUUUUCACCUCUCCACCUUGACCCCGCUUUUAUUCUAGGCGCGAUGUCCGCAGCAGCCGUUACGGCUACUAGCCCAAGCAGCAGCAGCAGCAGUGACAGCACAGCCAUGCCAGCAGACACUUUAAACCCAUCAGGAAGUAAAUGAAAGAAAAACUGAUCCAUAAACAUGUGACAGAGAAGGGGUUUUGUUUUUGUUGGUAAGAAUGCAAAAAUUCAUAUGGAAACUGUAACCUAUAAAAAUGAAGUCUGUGGAAUUAUGCAGUGUGACAGCCUGCCUCGGCCUUGCAACUAAAGUACUACAGUCUUCUCAAAUCGAAGACUUAACAUUAACAAAAAUAAAGACCAGGAGUAUCACGAAAGAGCAGUUGGCUGUUGAAGAGGAGGGUUAUCUCUUUUCUGGGACCUGCUGAUCGACAUGUUUGUGUUCAAGCAUGAACUUCUGGCUGGAUCUCCACUCUUCCAUCAACAACUGUAUGGGACCAGUGCUCACGAG